GAGCGAACUGAUUAGAAGCUUGCUUCUAUGACGUUAGCGGCGGACGGGUGAGUAACACGUGGGCAACCUGCCUGUAAGACUGGGAUAACUUCGGGAAACCGAAGCUAAUACCGGAUAGGAUCUUCUCCUUCAUGGGAGAUGAUUGAAAGAUGGUUUCGGCUAUCACUUACAGAUGGGCCCGCGGUGCAUUAGCUAGUUGGUGAGGUAACGGCUCACCAAGGCAACGAUGCAUAGCCGACCUGAGAGGGUGAUCGGCCACACUGGGACUGAGACACGGCCCAGACUCCUACGGGAGGCAGCAGUAGGGAAUCUUCCGCAAUGGACGAAAGUCUGACGGAGCAACGCCGCGUGAGUGAUGAAGGCUUUCGGGUCGUAAAACUCUGUUGUUAGGGAAGAACAAGUACAAGAGUAACUGCUUGUACCUUGACGGUACCUAACCAGAAAGCCACGGCUAACUACGUGCCAGCAGCCGCGGUAAUACGUAGGUGGCAAGCGUUAUCCGGAAUUAUUGGGCGUAAAGCGCGCGCAGGCGGUUUCUUAAGUCUGAUGUGAAAGCCCACGGCUCAACCGUGGAGGGUCAUUGGAAACUGGGGAACUUGAGUGCAGAAGAGAAAAGCGGAAUUCCACGUGUAGCGGUGAAAUGCGUAGAGAUGUGGAGGAACACCAGUGGCGAAGGCGGCUUUUUGGUCUGUAACUGACGCUGAGGCGCGAAAGCGUGGGGAGCAAACAGGAUUAGAUACCCUGGUAGUCCACGCCGUACACGAUGAGUGCUAAGUGUUAGAGGGUUUCCGCCCUUUAGUGCUGCAGCUAACGCAUUAAGCACUCCGCCUGGGGAGUACGGUCGCAAGACUGAAACUCAGAGGAAUUGACGGGGGCCCGCACAGGCGUAGGAGCAUGUGGUUUAAUUCGAAGCAACGCAAAAAACCUUACUAGGUCUUGACAUCCUCUGACAACUCUAGAGAUGUAGCGUUCCCCUUCUGGGGACAAAGUGACAAGAGGUGCAUGGGUUGGCGUCAGCUCGUGUCGUGAGAUGUUGGGUUAAGUCCCGCAACGAGCGCAACCCUUGAUCUUAGUUGCCAGCAUUUAGUUGGGCACUCUAAGGUGACUGCCGGUGACAAACCGGAGGAAGGUGGGGAUGACGUCAAAUCAUCAUGCCCCUUAUGACCUGGGCUACACACGUGCUACAAUGGAUGGUACAAAGGGCUGCAAGACCGCGAGGUCAAGCCAAUCCCAUAAAACCAUUCUCAGUUCGGAUUGUAGGCUGCAACUCGCCUACAUGAAGCUGGAAUCGCUAGUAAUCGCGGAUC
rnacentral:rRNA from 2 species